rnacentral:lncRNA from 1 species
AUGCUUCAUCAUCUUGUAAUGGCUUGCCGGCGGUAUCCAAUGGAUGCAUAUUCCUACACAACCCUUCUAGCAGUUUGCAGUUCUUGCCUAUCAUCUCAAUUGCACAUGCACCAAUUUUGAUACAAUAGCUCACAUCCAAGAAAGUUAUCACAGAAAAUUUUCCAGCAAUUUGUUCCACAACCAAAUCGCUCAUAUUGCUCCUUGGUAGUCUCAAACUCCGAAGGGAACCAGCACUUGCAAAAGAAGUAUAAAAAGAUAAUAAGAUUUCAUUUAACUUUAGUACAAUAACAGUAAGAAAGGAAAAUGAAAUCAAUCACCAAUUUUUGCAUCUUUAACACUCAGCAACAAAAUUAAAGCUGAAUUUCAUGUUUUUUCGACUAUAAUUAUCUGUCGCUAAUUCAACUUUUUCUCUUGUUUAUC